AUGAAUCACAGCCCGGAGAUACUUUGUUGGAAUGUGUGUGGGCUUAAUGACCCCGCAAAACAGAAGGCUAUUAGGGAUUUCUUAGCUACGAUUAAGGUGAAUCUCGUGUGUCUACAAGAGACUAAUCUAGAUGUAAUUGACCAGUUUAUGGUGAUACAAUGCUUAGGCCCAUCCUUCGACAACGUUUCUUACUUGCCGGCUGUUGAGACGAGAGGAGGAAUCCUCCUUGCCUGGGACUCAACCAUCCUCACGGUAGAUCAUAUCAAUCUUGAUAAUAACUCGCUAAUGGGAUACGUACGCACCAAGGAUGGGAGCAACUGGUGGCUGACAAUGGUGUAUGCGCCUCAAGGGGACAAGCUCAAGACUCAAUUUUUGUUGGAGUUGGCAGCAAGGAGAGAGAAUUGCCCUGGCCCUUGGAUGCCUCUUGGGGACUUUAAUAUGAUCCUCAGGGCGAGUGAGAAGAAUAACAACAACAUUAACCGCGGCAUGAUGAACAAGUUUUGGAGCUUUGUGGAGGAGCAGGAGCUGAAGGAAAUGUACAUGCACGGGCGCAUGUAUACCUGGUGCAACGAGAGCGAUGCCCCCACACUCACCAAAAUUGACAGGGCUUUGGCUUCCAUUGACUGGGAGUUGACAUAUCCUGAUCAUCUUCUCCAAGCUCUGUCGACUAGCAUCUCAGAUCACACGCCUAUGCACAUAUCGACGAGCACACAUUUCUACCUGAAAAAGCGCUUUCACUUCGAGAUCUACUAG
rnacentral:rRNA from 1 species